rnacentral:rRNA from 1 species
UACGGAGGGGGCUAGCGUUGUUCGGAAUUACUGGGCGUAAAGCGUACGUAGGCGGACCUGCAAGUCGGGGGUGAAAGCCCGAGGCUCAACCUCGGAACUGCCUUCGAUACUGCGGGUCUCGAGUCCGGGAGAGGUGAGUGGAAUUCCUAGUGUAGAGGUGAAAUUCGUAGAUAUUAGGAAGAACACCAGUGGCGAAGGCGGCUCACUGGCCCGGUACUGACGCUGAGGCGCGAAAGCGUGGGGAGCAAACAGG